UGGAAAAACUUUGAAGGUUAUCAGUCAAAUGAUGUCAUCCUGAGCACCACAAGGCCUUUGUGAACGCAUCUAUAUAAAAUUGAUGUGGAUAAACUUAAAAAUGUGGGCAUAUCAGCGAUUU